rnacentral:rRNA from 1 species
UACGAAGGGGGCUAGCGUUGCUCGGAAUCACUGGGCGUAAAAGCGCACGUAGGCGGCUUUCUAAGUCAGGGGUGAAAUCCUGGAGCUCAACUCCAGAACUGCCUUUGAUACUGGGAGCUCGAGUCCGGAAGAGGUGAGUGGAACUGCGAGUGUAGAGGUGAAAUUCGUAGAUAUUCGCAAGAACACCAGUGGCGAAGGCGGCUCACUGGUCCGGUACUGACGCUGAGGUGCGAAAGCGUGGGGAGCAAACAGG